rnacentral:rRNA from 1 species
UACGUAGGGUGCAAGCGUUGUCCGGAAUUAUUGGGCGUAAAGGGCGCGCAGGCGGUACGGCACGUCCGUUGUGAAAUCGCCCGGCUCAACUGGGCGGGGUCAGCGGAUACGGCAGAGCUUGAGCAAGCUAGGGGGCAAUGGAAUUCCCGGUGUAGUGGUGGAAUGCGUAGAUAUCGGGAGGAACACCAGUGGCGAAGGCGGUUGCCUGGGGCUUUGCUGACGCUGAUGCGCGAAAGCGUGGGGAGCGAUCCGG